GAGGGCCUGCUAUGUGCAAGGCAUUAGAUUUUAGGGGACAGCUGGUGCUCCAUGCCCUCUUCCCACAGCUGCUGUCCAUCCCACACCUGCCCUGGCCACCACCUCCAAUGUCCAGAUCACUUAAUAGUCCCACUGGGAGGCUGAAACCAAGGAAACAACUCCUUUCUUCCUGGCCUUUAAGUGGUGCCUAUCCUGGGUUGGUGAUUGUGUCUCCACAAACAACCCAGCUCUUCCCAUAAUUAUGCCAAGGGGUACAAUUGGGCUUUCUUGGUAGGCAGAUCUCAGCAACCUGGCUUGGUUUUAGAUCCCAGGGACCUGCCUGCUCCCAGAGGUGACAGAGGAAGAUCAAGGAAGGAUCUGUGUGGUCAUUGACCUCGAUGAAACCCUUGUGCAUAGCUCCUUUAAGCCAAUCAACAAUGCUGACUUCAUA
rnacentral:sRNA from 1 species